rnacentral:rRNA from 1 species
UACAGAGACUGCAAGCGUUAUUCGGAUUCACUGGGCGUAAAGGGUGCGCAGGCGGCUGGGGGUGUCAGAUGGGAAAUCCCGAGGCUUAACCUCGGAACUGCGUCUGAAACUACUCGACUAGAGUACUGGAGAGGGUAACGGAAUUCACGGUGUAGCAGUGAAAUGCGUAGAUAUCGUGAGGAACACCAGAGGCGAAGGCGGUUACCUGGACAGUUACUGACGCUCAGGCACGAAAGCAUGGGGAGCGAAAGGG